rnacentral:rRNA from 1 species
GGAUUAGAUACCCUGGUAGUCCACGCCGUAAACGAUGGAUGCUAGACGUUGGCCCUUGAGGUCGGUGUCGUAGUUAACGCGUUAAGCAUCCCGCCUGGGGAGUACGGUCGCAAGAUUAAAACUCAAAGGAAUUGACGGGGACCCGCACAAGCGGUGGAGCAUGUGGUUUAAUUCGAGGCAACGCGGAGAACCUUACCAGGGCUUGACAUCCUGAUCGCGGAUUAGAGAGAUCUUUUCCUUCAGUUCGGCUGGAUCAGUGACAGGUGCUGCAUGGCUGUCGUCAGCUCGUGCUG